UAAGUUUACAAGCAGCAGCAGAAGUACCAAGCCUGUGGGGUGUGGGAGGAGCUGCCCACCGAGCGAGACUCUGAGUAAACAUGUGUGGUGACUUGUGCUGUCUCCUCCAGAAGCCAUGUGACUGGAAAGUCUAGUUCUGAGAUAAGCAUCUGCAGGGCGGUCCCAGGGAGCAGCCCCAGCUCCAACAGAGCCCUCUGGCCUGGCGUAGCCCUGCGUCUCCUCUGGUGACUAAGGGAAGGACACUGCUAUCCAGGCGGGUGUGGAAGCUGAUGGGACCCCGGAAGACCCCUGCCUGCCCCUGCCUGCCUGCUCAGAACUGAGGCCUCAGGCGUUAAAAGGAAAGAAAAAGACUAUCAUGUCCUCACUCUAGUUUCCCUCUGAUGGACUAGAGGCUUUUGGCUCCAUUGUGUCUCCUUAAAACUGUCCUCUAACAGCCAUUUCAAGGGUUUAUAUUGUCUCAUCUCCCACAAAAUUCUUUUUCAUAUGAGGCUUCUCAGGGUACCAUUUUUUUGAUACCAGUGAGACCUGGAUCAUCAAAAGAUGAAGCCCAAAGUCCUGUGAACCAGUGGUGGGGAAAUGAAGUUACCACUAGCAUAUGUAUCCUUGGAGGGUUUCAGAUCCCUUUCAGAUGGCAACACCCAGGAGCUUUCUCCACACUCAGUCCUUACAUCUCACGACAAAAUGCGCAGCAAAAACAACUGAGAAGAACAGAGCAACUAGAUGGCGCACCGCCUCCCACAGCACCUCUAAAAUGUCUGAAUCUUGAAACGGGCCUCUUGUCUGCACCUUGUUUGGUUCACGGUAAAUUCCCAACAAAUCUGGACUAAUAAAAGGUCCUUAAGAAGUGAGUCUGCAGAGUUACAAAUUUUAGACAGAUGUCUGGAGCCAGACUAACAACAAGGAACUGACUUUUCCUCUUUGGCACCACAAGACGGUUGUGUAACAGGUUCAAGCUGAUGGGACAGCUAUUUAAGCCAGAGUAAUACACUACAACCGAUGCUUUUGAAAACCAUGAAAAACCCAGCUCCAAAACUUCCAAUAGCUUGUUGAGGUUUUCUUUAACCCUCCAAAUGAGGAUCAGUCAACAUCAGUACAGAAAAAAUUUUACCCACAAAAAAUGUUUAUAGUCAAGUCUACUAAUACUGGUUUAUUUGCAGCCCAAACUCUCUGAAGACAGCAAACAGUGGUAUUGGCUGCCCUCUGCAGUGAGCUGGUGAAUUCAGCAAAAUAUCAGGAUCAAGAAAAUGCCAAAUGCAUGUAACUAAUUCUCCUUGAAAUCCAGAAAUGCUGGCAAAAGAAUGAGUUCUUAUGUCUAGGAUUAAAAAAAAUAAAAAAAAUAAAAAAAUAAAGUUGAGGGUGUAUGGGAAAGUAACACACCACCUCCAAAUCACUCAACCCUAACCUGAUGUUCAACUGCGAGGUUAGGGUAAGCUUGCCUGUUGGUUUUGAGAUGUUAAAGUCAAGUUCUAGGUGAGAUCCUUUGUUGCUGAAUCACAAAUCAACCACAGCAGCAAUACUUAGAUGCUUUUCAGAGAGUUCUCUAGACUGAGAACUUCCAUGGUAUGUGUUUUUAAAAUAUGUCUAUAAAUUAUU